rnacentral:rRNA from 1 species
UGAGUAACGCGUAUCCAACCUCCCUUAGUAGGCAUAGCCCGGUGAAAAUCGGAUUAACACCCUAUGUUCUUCACAGCAGACAUCUAACGUGAAGCAGAGGUUCACCGCUAAGGGAUGGGGAUGCGUCUGAUUAGGUAGUAGGCGGGGUAACGGCCCACCUAGCCUUCGAUCAGUAGGGGUUCUGAGAGGAAGGUCCCCCACAUUGGAACUGAGACACGGUCCAAACUCCUACGGGAGGCAGCAGUGAGGAAUAUUGGUCAAUGGGCGAGAGCCUGAACCAGCCAAGUAGCGUGCAGAAUGACGGCCCUAUGGGUUGUAAACUGCUUUUAUAUGGGGAUAAAGUUCACCACGUGUGGUGUUUUGUAGGUACCAUAUGAAUAAGGACCGGCUAAUUCCGUGCCAGCCGCUGC